rnacentral:rRNA from 1 species
GAUGAACGCUGGCGGCGUGCCUAAUACAUGCAAGUCGAGCGAACGGACGAGAAGCUUGCUUCUCUGAUGUUAGCGGCGGACGGGUGAGUAACACGUGGAUAACCUACCUAUAAGACUGGGAUAACUUCGGGAAACCGGAGCUAAUACCGGAUAAUAUUUUGAACCGCAUGGUUCAAAGUGAAAGACGGUCUUGCUGUCACUUAUAGAUGGAUCCGCGCUGCAUUAGCUAGUUGGUAAGGUAACGGCUUACCAAGGCAACGAUGCAUAGCCGACCUGAGAGGGUGAUCGGCCACACUGGAACUGAGACACGGUCCAGACUCCUACGGGAGGCAGCAGUAGGGAAUCUUCCGCAAAGGGCGAAAGCCUGACGGAGCAACGCCGCGUGAGUGAUGAAGGUCUUCGGAUCGUAAAACUCUGUUAUUAGGGAAGAACAUAUGUGUAAGUAACUGUGCACAUCUUGACGGUACCUAAUCAGAAAGCCACGGCUAACUACGUG